rnacentral:rRNA from 1 species
UACGGAGGAUUCAAGCGUUAUCCGGAUUUAUUGGGUUUAAAGGGUGCGUAGGCGGUCGGAUAAGUUAGAGGUGAAAUGUCCGAGCUCAACUCGGGAACUGCCUCUAAUACUGUUGAUCUAGAGAGUAGAUGCGGUAGGCGGAAUGUAUGGUGUAGCGGUGAAAUGCUUAGAGAUCAUACAGAACACCGAUUGCGAAGGCAGCUUACCAAGCUACUUCUGACGUUGAGGCACGAAAGCGUGGGGAGCAAACAGG